GUCGCACCUACCGAUUGAAUGAUUUAGUGAGAUAUUUGGACUGGGUAUUGCAGGCGCUUCGGCAUUUGCUUUAUCCGGAAAGAAAAUCAAACUGAAUCCUUUAGAGGAAGUAAAAGUCGUAACAAGGUUUCCGUAGGUGAACCUGC
rnacentral:rRNA from 1 species